UACGAAGGGGGCUAGCGUUGUUCGGAAUCACUGGGCGUAAAGGGCGCGUAGGCGGCUUUAUAAGUCGGGGGUGAAAGCCUGUGGCUCAACCACAGAAUUGCCUUCGAUACUGUAGAGCUUGAGACCGGAAGAGGUAAGUGGAACUGCGAGUGUAGAGGUGAAAUUCGUAGAUAUCGACAGGAACACCUGCGGCGAAAGCGGCCUUCUGGACGAACACUGACGCUGAGACGCGAAAGCGUGGGGAGCAAACAGG
rnacentral:rRNA from 1 species